rnacentral:rRNA from 1 species
UGGGGAAUAUUGCACAAUGGGGGAAACCCUGAUGCAGCGACGCCGCGUGAGUGAAGAAGUAUUUCGGUAUGUAAAGCUCUAUCAGCAGGGAAGAAAACGACGGUACCUGACUAAGAAGCACCGGCUAAAUACGUGCCAGCAGCCGCGGUAAUACGUAUGGUGCAAGCGUUAUCCGGAUUUACUGGGUGUAAAGGGUGCGUAGGUGGCAUGGCAAGUCAGAAGUGAAAACACGGGGCUCAACCCCGUGACUGCUUUUGAAACUGUCAGGCUGGAGUCCAGGAGAGGCAAGCGGAAUUCCUAGUGUAGCGGUGAAAUGCGUAGAUAUUAGGAGGAACACCAGUGGCGAAGGCGGCUUGCUGGACUGGUACUGACACUGAGGCACGAAAGCGUGGGGAGCAAACAGG